rnacentral:misc_RNA from 1 species
GAUGAAGAACGUAGCGAAAUGCGAUACUUGGUGUGAAUUGCAGAAUCCCGUGAACCAUCGAGUCUUUGAACGCAAGUUGCGCCCGAAGCCAUUAGGCCGAGGGCACGCCUGCCUGGGCGUCACACGUCGUUGCCCCCCCAUCUACUCCUUCGGGGUUGCGAGGGGCGGAUGAUGGCCUCCCGUGCGCCUCGUCGCGCGGUUGGCAUAAAUGCCAAGUCCUCGGCGACGCACGCCACGACAAUCGGUGGUUGCGAAACCUCGGUUGCCCGUCGUGUGCGGUCGUCGCGCAUCGAGGGCUCGAAAAAAUUGCCGGGCUCCGGCUCGGCUUUCAACGCGACCCCAGGUCAGGCGGGGUUACCCGCUGAAUUUAAGCAUAUCAAUAAGCGGAGGA